UGCAAACCACGUGAUCAUCCACCGGAGCAGUGCAGGUUCGCUGAGAAACGUCGGAACUGCAGAUGCCGGAGACUCCGAGAUAACAAGGUGUAGAGCUGGAUGAAUAUAACAGGCCAAGCAGUAUAGGAGGAGCAGGAAAGCUGACGUUUUGUGCCUGGCCCCUUCGCUGAGACUAAGGUUUGUGCAAUUGAGAUACCAGUGAUCGUUGCCAAAGCCCAGUUGCCUGUGGAAAAUGUGAUGUUCAAGUUUCGUGUGUUGCUGCAGUUCGUAUGAUGAAGGUACUUCCACAAUGCGGUCAUUUGAGAAGUUACAGAUCAUUCAUCUAGCGAUACUGAAGAGCUGAUGGUGUAGGUCCAAAUCAACAAACUACUCUGUUGGAGUCUCAAAGGUUGUGUGGUGCAGGGAAACAGGGAUCAUCACGGCCAGGAAUUAAAUCACGGGUGAGAAUUUUAAAUUGUUGCUUAUAAAUAGGAGCCUUUGUGGGUCAGGGAGCACAGCAGUGAUGAGUGAACAGGUUUUGGUACAAAUGAACUUGUGCGCAGCAGAAUUUUAGAUAUUCUUGAGAUUACGGGGACGUUAAAUGUGGGAGGUCAACUGGGAGUGUGUUUGGAUAGUUAAGUCUAGAGGUAACGCAGGAAUAGAUGAGAGGUUCAGCAGAUGAGCUGAUACUAAGGUGUCAUUGUCACUGAAGUGGAACAAAAUGUUUUUUUGUGCAGGAAUCUGCUGUUGCCUUCACCUCACCUCAGGAAUUCAGCUGUUUGUGAAUUUGUGGAUCAAGUCUGUAAUAAGAUCUGGAACCGAGUGCCCGCCGUGACCCAAACUGGGCGUCACUGAGCAUGUUACUGCUGAAUAAGUGCUGCUUAGUACCACUGUUGACAACACCUUCCAUCACUUUACUGAUGAUAGAGAGGAGACUGCUUGAGGGGAAAUUGGUCGAGUUGGAUUUGCUGUGUUUUUGUGCUGAACAGACCUGGGCAGUUUUCCAAAUUGUCAGUAGAUUCCAGGGCUGUAGCAGUACUCAAACAGUUUGGCUUGGCAGGUAGCAAGCUCUGGAGCACAAGUCAUCGGUACUGUUGCCAGGGCCCAUAAUCUUUGCUGCACUAUUCCUCUAUUUAUUAAUAUCAUUUGAAACGAGUCAAAUUGGAUGAAAACUCAAAGCUGUGAUAUUGGGGGCAUCUGGAGAAGGCUGAGAUUUAUCAUCCAAUUGGCACUUGUGGCUGAAUAUUCCUGCAAAUGCAGUAGUCUUGUCUUGUGCGUGAAUAGGUUGGGCUCCUCUGUCAGUCAGGAUGAAGAUUUUUGGCAUGCUUCCUCCAGUUUAAUUGCCCAUCACCAUUCACGACUGGGUGUGGCAGAAUUACAGAGCUUAGAUCUGAUCUACUGGUUAUGGGGUGGCUCAGCUCUAACACUUGCUGCUUAUGUUAUUUGGCAUGCAGAUAGUCCUGUUUGGUAGUUUUACCAGGUUGACACCUUAUUUUUAGCUAUGUCUGAUGCUGCUCUUGGCAUGCCCUCCUAUACUAUCCAUUCAAUUAGUGUGGUUCCCCUGGAUCAAUGGUAAUGGUUGAGUGCACAAUAUGCUGGCCCCUGAGGUUACAGAUUGUGCUGGAAAGUUCUGCUGCUGUUGAUGUCCCAUAGCGCUUCAUAGAUGUCUGGUUUUGAGCCCCUAUAUCUGUUCCAAGUCUGUCCCAUUUAGCCGAUGUUAGUGCCACUCAACACAAUGGAGGAUAUUCUCAAGUUUAAGAUGAUGCUUUGCCUCCACAGGACUGUGCGGUGGUUGCCGUUACCAAUCCUGUCAUGGACAGUUGCAUCUGCAGCUGGGAAUUUCGUGACAAUGACACCAGCUAUGUUUUUCCCUUCUGUUGGUUUUGUCAGCACCUGCUGCAGUCCCAGCCAAGCAGUUUUUUUUUCCUUUAGGACCCAACCAGCCUGAUUGGUAAUCCUGCUGUGAACUACUCCUGAUGGGGGGCAUUGACUACCUUUAUUGCCAUUUACACUCAGUGCUUACUCCAAGUGCUGUUCAACAUGGAGUUUUUAAUUAAAAUUCACUCUUGGGAUGUGGAAGUUGCUGGCUGGACCAGCAUUUAUUGCCCAUCCCUGAUUUCCCUGAAGGCAUUUAAGAGUCAACCACAUUGCUGUGGGUUUGGAGUUGCAUGUCAUGCAGAUCAGGUAAGGAUGGCCGAUUUCCUUCCCAAAAGGACAUAAGUGAACCCAAAUAAUCAGCAAUGGUUUCAUGGUCAUCGUUCGACUAUUAAUUCCAGAUCAUUAUUUAAUUCAAAUUCCACCAUUUGCCACGGCAGGAUUCGAACCCAAGUCCCCGGAAUGGUGUCUGGGUCUCUGGAUUAAUAAUCUAGCAACAAUACUGUUGCCAGUUUAUCAACUGAGGGAGGAUGAUCCAUGGCAUUCAGCAGGAGCCAUGAGUCUUCCAGGCGUCAGAAUCAAUGUCGUACUCCCAGGUCAAUUACUGUGGUCAGAAUAGCACUGUGCUGCCACGUCUGUCCUGCUCCUGGGACAGGCCUUCACUAAGGACAGUGAUGGUGGCUUGUUUCAAAUGUCUAUAAGGUAGAUUCUAAGCAUAUGACGCUGUUCCUUGACUAGUCUUUGAGCCAUCUCCAAAUUUUGCCACUCGCCCCCAGAUAUUAGUAAGGAGGAGUUUGUCGAGUCAAUAGGGCUGAUUCUGCAGGCGUCUUUCCUCGUGCCUUGGCAGAUGCCAAGUGGUCCACCCAGCUUCAUUCCUUUGUUGAGACUUUGCAGUGAUUUGUAAUUGAGUGGCUUGCUGAGAUUGGCAAAUUUCUUUCCCUGAAGGACAUUAGGAUUUUUUUCUUUUUCUGCCAUUAGCAAUGGUUCCAUGGCAACCAGUUGAUUCUUAAUUCCAGUUUUUUUAUUGAAUUCAAAUUCCACCAUCUGCUGAGAUGGGAUUCAAACCCAGACUUCUGUUGUACACUUUAGUAUUCUGGAUAAAAGUUAAAUCAUCAGGUUUGUUCACUCAUUUUUGAAUAUCUCUAACACAGGCUUUGUUUCUUUGCAAACCAUUGUCCAUCAUCCUGUCUCCUCCAUCCUCCCCUCCAACAACAAGUGAGGGAGAGACGUAGAACCUCCAUGUCAUUAAGAUUGAGACUAUCCAAAUCAGAUGCCUCCCUUGCUUCCCUCUCUCCCACUUGCCCACCAAACCAAAUUGCCUGGCACGUUGCUCGUUGUUUUAGUCCUAAUCUUGCAUCUUUCUCCAGUCUUAUGGCAAGCCUUAUCAGAGCUCGUCUUAAUCCUUUGCCCUAUUCCUGCUAAACCACAAACAUUCUAUGUCUCUCUUAUUUCUCCUCCUCCUUGCCUCUUCCCCCAUGCCAGUUCAGAUAUUAUCCUUGUUCUGUCUGCUCCUCUUUUCUGGUUAUGCCCAUCUCAUCCAUUCUGUCCAAAACCAAUAUUUGACUUCACUGUCAUUGGAAAAUCCCACUCCAUCUCUAUUCUCUCUUUCCUCUCACUAAAUCUUGGCCAUUCUUUGCCAUGUGUCAAAGACCUGCAGUUCUGGUCAGUGACAUGAAGUCCCAAGGUGGAAAUUCCUGGAAACCCAAAUAGAUUUCUCCCUGAAUCGACGACUGACCUCCGCAAGGGAUAACGUGUAAUAGGGACAAUGCACAGUUAUCUUCGGCCAGGAUGAGGGGAUGUUGUGCAUUUCUACCCGGACUGACAGUGAUGGAUUUUAUGAAUUUGUGUUACAGGAUAUUACAAGUGGACUUUCAGAGUGGUUCAUGUGUGAAACAAACUUUCAGAGGAGGUGGUGGAUGCAGAUUUCCACAAUUUUACUUCUGCACUUUUCUUAACCUUUUGAUCCCUCUGAAAGACUGAGUUACAAUGCCUGUCCUUCCUCCCUGGCUCUCCCACCUCUCGUUCAGUCAUUUUGUGCAAAUACUGACUGGACCUCUUACCUGGAGGAUAUUUAUUUGAAUUUGUUCUAAUGAUGAUCCAGCAUAUUUCCCAAGUGUCACUCCAUAAAUGUCCAGAGGAUUUCUCGAUUUCACAAUCUGUGGUUGUUCUUCUGGUUCCUCACUCACUGCACUUGCUUUCGGUUUGAAAGCUUGGUCUGCAAUUGGAGAAUUCAAACAAGUCCACAUCCAGCUCUGACAGUCACUUUGUUUAUCGCAACCCAGUUAUCUCAGGAUGUUGAACAUUGGAGGAAAAAGCAGCAUUCACACUGGGGAGAAAUGCACAUGGUCUGUGAAGAUUCAUCUGAAAUGUCCGAACACCAGCGCAGUGACACUGGGGAGAGACUGUCGAAAUUUCCAGCUUGCAGGAAGGAAUUUUUUAAUCCAUCCCAGCUCGAACUGACCACCAGAGUCACGCUGGAGAAAAACCAUUCACCUGCUCUGAUUGUGGAAUGGGAUUCACUCAGUCAUCUAACCUGCUUAAACACCAGGGAGUUCGCACUGUAGAGAAACCAUUUACUUGCUCGGAAUGUGGGAAAACAUUCACUCAGACAUCUCAACUGCUGAUGCACCUAGCGAAUUCACACUGGAGAGAGACCAUUGGCCUGUUCUGCGUGAGGGAAAGGCUUUGCUGACUCGAAUUGCCUGCUGAUACACCACCGACUUCACUCUGGGGAGUGACCAUUCAUCUGCUCCCAGUGUGGGAAGGGAUUCACUUGCUCACCUAACCUACAGAGUGACACCAGAGCGUUCACACUGGGGAGAAACCAUUCACCUGCUCUCAAUGUGAGAAAGCAUUCACUUGGUCAUCCUACCUGCUCAUGUUCCAGCAGGUUCAUACUGGGGAGAGACCAUUCUUGAGCUUUGAGUUGGGGAAAGCACUCACUCAGUCAUCCAAACUGUUACAACACCAGUGAGUUCACAAAGAAGCACAGUUGAAGGAUUUUGCUGUCACUCUUACUAUCAAAUGAACCAUGGUUUUGGGCUGUUUGUACUGAUGUUACUGAUCCCUGCUCAAUUAAAGGUCCUGGUAUUGCGGAUAAAAUGUUAACAACAGUUGUGUAUCUGUCCGGUAGAACUUGGAAAUAGUCAUGUUAUCAUGACACAUUGAUGCAUUCACACUGACAAAAGGCUAUCCGCCUGCACAGUAUGUGAAAAGGGAUUUCCUGGUUCAUCAGGACUGGUUAACGAGCAGCAAAUUUCUGAGUAACUGUGAAGUUGGUUUUUGGUUCUGCUGUUAGCUAUAUCCAAAUCAUGCUUUUUGGGCCUGCUUCUGGAGAUCAUAGAAUCCCUCCAGUCUGGAAGCAGACCAUUUCGCCUGUCGAGUCCACACUGAACUUACAAAGAGUGUUCUACCCAGACCCUGCCUGCGUGGGUUUCCUCCAAGUGCUCUAGUUUCUUCCCACGUCCAAAAAUGUGCAAAUUAGGUAGAAUGACAAUGCUAAAUUGCCCAUAGUGUCUUGUGUGCAAAAUGCAGGGAUAGGGUGUGAGACUGGGUGAGAUGCUGUUUGGAGGGUUGGUAAUGGACUGAAUGGCCAUCUUCCACACUGUACGGAUUCUAUUAUGAUCUCAAUGGCCCUUUAUUUGUUAGUUAUGCCUGGUCAAUAUGUUUGCACACCUUUACAAUUAUGGAUUCUAUUGCUCUCCACAGACAUGUUGCAACUACUAAUAGAUAUUUGUUUUUUGGAAACAAUCAAAGGAAAGUUUUAAAUCCAAACAAAAGAUUGCGAUGAGUCAUGUACUAUAUCCCUGAUUGGAAAAAUGCAAUCGGCUAUGAAACCUGGUGACCUGUCCAUGGGGAAUGCAGUCUCUUCAGAUCUUUACCAGGUGUCCAUAGCAGUGACGGAUCUCGUGAUGAAUGCAAAAACAUUGUGUGAUAUCUAGUGUAUAUUUUCUAUUUAGUCUGCUGUCCAUUACUCCACGUCGAGUUCGUUUUCGGAGACCGUCACGGACUUGCUGCAAUCACAAGACACUGACCUGUUUAGAAAAACACAAAUCCUUUUAUUACCAAGCAAGUACAAGCUGUGGAGAAUUACUGUACUCAACCCGGCACAGAGUGCAGAGUCUUGCAAGUAAUUCUCCCUGAGCAGCGGACAGUGCCUGCUUUUUAUACUUUACAAAAGACAUGAUAUUUAAAACGAUUUCACAAUUUACAAUGGCAUGAUGCAUAAAACAAUUACUACCACAGACAAAAACAGGAUACCAAGCAAUUAUUACAUCAACAACAUAAAAGACCGGGAUACAGUAUCGAUUGCUAGUGAAGUAGCUGCUAAUGGCAGGAGGCAAUUUCGAGUUGUUGUCCGGGACAGAUUGUGAUUUCACAUUGCCAGUGUGUCUGGCUAGAACCAAAUCAGUGCCUUGGCCCCUUUGCCAGUGACAGAAGUUACAUGCUUUCGAGGUUUCACACCUUUACAAAUUUUCCCCACCUAACCCUAUUUGAAACAGUUUCAUUCUAAUUUUAAUUCAGUCAGGAAGCUUAAGACAGUGUCUGCAUACCGAUGUGUGAGAAGAAAAGGAGUUACAAAAGCUUGACACUGAAUUCCUAGCUGAGCAGGAAGCUUCUGGGUAGUGUCUGCAUACCUAUGUGUAGGUAGAUAAGAGUUUACUUCUAUACAUUAAAGUCUCUGUAUAGGAAUCAAAUGCAGAUAAAAGACUUUAAUUUAUAGAAGUGUAUAUAUAUCAAUGGGAUGUUAUCACAUUAACAUCUCACACAGAGACUGAGAUAAUGGUCUGGUGACCUAGAUUUGUAUCACACCAUUCCAGAUGGUGGAAUUUGAGUUUUUUUUAAAAUCUGGAAAUAAGAAUCUAAUGAUGACCGUGAAUCUAUUGUCAGUUGGAAAAACCCAUCUGUUCACCUAUGUCCUUUAGGGAAGAAAACUGCCAUUUUUAUCCAGUGAUAUCAGGAUUCCAUGAAUUUUUUUUAAAAGUUAAUUUUUAAAAAACUCCUGCAAAUACAUCUAUCUCUGUCCUAAUUUAUUUGACAACUCACAGUACAAAUUGGUUGACGGUCACUUUCACUUUUGAUCAAGUUGUGACCAUUUUCGUGGUUGAAACAAAAAAAAAUGCAUGAAUGGAACCACAGUUGUUCUCGUAGGAACAAUGCAUGCUCUGACAUGUUUGGAAAAAAAACCUCAUCUCACUUAUCAGCCACAUAUCAAAGCUGACCAGAUGCUGUGUACCAUGGAAGUGAAAUUCUUCACUAUCUUAUCUACUUGUGUUG